GACGAACGCUGGCGGCGUGCCUAAUACAUGCAAGUCGAACGCUGAAGGAGGAGCUUGCUUCUCUGGAUGAGUUGCGAACGGGUGAGUAACGCGUAGGUAACCUGCCUGGUAGCGGGGGAUAACUAUUGGAAACGAUAGCUAAUACCGCAUAAGAGUAGAUGUUGCAUGACAUUUGCUUAAAAGGUGCAAUUGCAUCACUACCAGAUGGACCUGCGUUGUAUUAGCUAGUUGGUGGGGUAACGGCUCACCAAGGCGACGAUACAUAGCCGACCUGAGAGGGUGAUCGGCCACACUGGGACUGAGACACGGCCCAGACUCCUACGGGAGGCAGCAGUAGGGAAUCUUCGGCAAUGGACGGAAGUCUGACCGAGCAACGCCGCGUGAGUGAAGAAGGUUUUCGGAUCGUAAAGCUCUGUUGUAAGAGAAGAACGAGUGAGAGAGUGGAAAGUUCACACUGUGACGGUAUCUUACCAGAAAGGGACGGCUAACUACGUG
rnacentral:rRNA from 1 species